rnacentral:lncRNA from 1 species
GCUCUCAGAGAAGCUUCCAGUGGAACCAAAGGAAUACAGAUGGAGGGCCUGGGGAGAGAUGGCCUGAGGGGACCUGCAGAAGGGAUUUACCUGCUGCCCCUCCCCCAGGGGAGCCAGGAGACUGAGCUGGGCUGUAAACACUCCGUGCCUGGUGCAGCCUGGUCUGCACAGGCUGAGAGGAUGCUCUACUUCUAAACCCCAUAAGGAAAAGGCCCAGGAGGGACGGGGAUGUUGCUGCUGAUAGCUAAAAAUGAUCAAAUUCUUACCAUAUGCCAGACCUUAUGCUGGACAAUUCACUGACAUUAUCCCACGUAGUAGGCAGAAUUCUAACGUGACCCCCAAGAUUCUCCACCUUCUGUGUAAUCCCCAGGAUUGUGAAUGUGAUGGAUUUCAUUCUGGUAAACAGGUUUUGUUAUAUGGCACAGAUGACUUUAAGACAGGGAGGCUUUAAAUCUGUGACUAGCAGAAGACAUAUGGAAGGCAGAGAUUCAAAAUAUAAGAGGGAUCUGACGCACCACUACUGGCUUGAAAAUGGAGGGGACCACAUGGCAGAGGACGCACGCAGCCUCUAGUUGCUGAGGGUGGUCUCCAGUUGACAGCGGCAAGGUAACAGGGGCCUCAGUCCUACAACCACAAGGAACUGAACUCUGCCAACAUACUGAAAGAGCUUGAAGGAGGAGCAUAAGCCUCAGGGGUGAGAUCAUAGACCCAGACAAAGCCUUGAUUUUAGUUGCCUAAAACCCCGAACUGAGAACCCAGGCAUCUUGAGUGGGACUCCUAACCCACAGAAACUGUGAGAUUAAUAAUUAGUGGCGUUUUAAAAGGGUUAACUUAUGAUAUUUUUAAAAUUAGCAACACAGAAAAUCAUACACCCCAUGUGAUACCCAUCAUAACCCUCUCAAGUAGGCUUCACCAUUUUAUAGACAAGGAAACAAAGACCCAGGGAAAUUAGGAAUUUGCCCAAAGUCACAUAGCCUGUGAGUGGCAGAGACAGGUUUAAACCCAGCUAUGUCUUGACUUUAUGGUCAGUGCUCUUCAUUGCCUCAUGCAUUUCCUCUCUGUAUGAGAAGAGAGCCUCAGACACAUGGUGAAAAGAGUAUGGAACUGUUUCUGUCUGCCUGGGUGUGGAUGUGCAGAAGGGUCAGAGGACCUAUGCUUUUGUUUUGGUUUUAAAUGGUGAAAAGACAUAUACAUAGAAUCAACUAGCUGGAUUCAGUUUAGAUGAUCCCAAUAUGCCUUCUUCUCUCCAUCAGGCCUGAUCAGGGUGUUGGCUUUGGCCACAGCAGUGUCACUGAGCUUCUUCACAGCCUGUUUGAUCUGGUGCUUGUUGGCUUUGACAUCCACAAUGGACACAAGUUGUGUUGUUGUCUUCUAUCUUCUUCAUGGCUGACUCAGUGGUUGGGGGAACCUGAUGAUGAAUUAUUGGUCAAGCUUGUUUCUCCUGGGAGUGCUCUUCCAAGCAUAUUUCUGCUGCCUGCAGAGCCACACUGUCUUGGGCCACUGGCAGGUGGGUGAUGUGUGGAUUGGAUCUUCUUUUUGUGGCUGUGGACACCUUUAAGCACUGCCUUCCUGGCCUUCAAAGCAUUCGCUUUGGCUUCAGCUUUGGGAGGGGCAAGAACUUUUUUCACUUUUGGUGCCAUAAUGUGAAAAUGAGGACCUAUGUUGAGCCCUCACUCCUCUAGAAGCCAGCUGUGUGCCCUCGGCAAAGUCAAUUAAUCACUCUGAGCCUCAGUUUUUAUAAUCUGUAUGAGGCCUACUAAGAAUUUCUGCAUUAUAACCCUUGAAGGGCUGCAGCUGAUGAUCCCAUAAAAGUGUGUGAGGGGCCACUGUGAAUGAAGUCCACAGGGCAGACAGAGGCACCUGGAUGUCAUGUAGAUAUCAUUUUCUUUUCUUGAUGACUGCCAAUUUCAAUGUCCUCUGCCUAUAGGCUGGAUAUGGUCACUCUGAUGGCUUAUUUGGAGGAAGUAAUUUUAAAUAGGUUUUUUUUUUAGAGGAAAUGAUUAUUUAUUACAUUUAUUGAAAAACUACAGAAUAAGAUGGAAGGUAAUUUUUCUUUUUUUCUUGAAUUCUUUAAAAGUUAGUUGACUAUUAAAAGCCAAAGUAAUAACAA